rnacentral:rRNA from 1 species
GAUCAUGGCUCAGAACGAACGCUGGCGGCAGGCUUAACACAUGCAAGUCGAGCGCCCCGCAAGGGGAGCGGCAGACGGGUGAGUAACGCGUGGGAAUCUACCCAUCCCUACGGAACAACUCCGGGAAACUGGAGCUAAUACCGUAUACGCCCUUCGGGGGAAAGAUUUAUCGGGGAUGGAUGAGCCCGCGUUGGAUUAGCUAGUUGGUGGGGUAAUGGCCUACCAAGGCGACGAUCCAUAGCUGGUCUGAGAGGAUGAUCAGCCACACUGGGACUGAGACACGGCCCAGACUCCUACGGGAGGCAGCAGUGGGGAAUAUUGGACAAUGGGCGAAAGCCUGAUCCAGCCAUGCCGCGUGAGUGAUGAAGGCCCUAGGGUUGUAAAGCUCUUUCAACGGUGAAGAUAAUGACGGUAACCGUAGAAGAAGCCCCGGCUAACUUCGUG